rnacentral:tRNA from 4 species
GCUCCGAUAACUCAGUGGCCAGAGUGCCUCCCUGUCUAGGAGGAAGCCGGGGAUUCGACUUCCCCUCGGAGCGCCA